rnacentral:rRNA from 1 species
UAGUGAUUAACGCGAAGAACCUUACCCAGGCUUGAACAGCGAGUGACCACUCCCGAAAGGGAGCUUCCGCAAGGACACUCGUAGAGGUGCUGCAUGGCUGUCGUCAGCUCGUGUCGUGAGAUGUUGGGUUAAGUCCCGCAACGAGCGCAACCCUUGUCUGCUGUUGCCAUCAGGUUAUGCUGGGCACUCUGCAGAGACCGCCGGUGAUAAACCGGAGGAAGGUGGGGAUGACGUCAAGUCAGCAUGGCCUUUAUGUCUGGGGCUACACACGUGCUACAAUGGCCGGUACAAACCGUCGCGAUACCGCAAGGUGGAGCUAAUCGGAGAAAGCCGGUCUCAGUUCGGAUAGCAGGCUGCAACUCGCCUGCUUGAAGUUGGAAUUGCUAGUAAUCGCGGAUCAGCACGCCGCGGUGAAUACGUUCCCGGGCCUUGUCACACCGAAUCGAAUUC